rnacentral:lncRNA from 1 species
AAGAGGGGUCAUUGGAACAGAAUUUGACAGUCCCUGAUGAAAAGAAUUUCAAUUCAAACAGAAUCCUAGCUGUACUUUGUCUUUCACUACCUCCAAAAGAGGCCACAGAAAUGGGGAGAGAGCUAGCAAUCAUUCCUCUCUCUAUGAACCGCCAUCUCCAGAAAUUUCCCUAAAGGGCCAGUCUACACUUUUGGAAACCAAGAUAAGCUUAUCUACAAAGGUAUGUGGGUUUUUUCCCAUACUGAUUUCUAUAAAUUUUUUCAGCUGGCUGGAAAGCAGGUACAAAAUAUACUUUUACACUGAUAUAUUUGAUACUCUAAACUUCUUUCCUGUGGCAAAUAUUCUACUGAUGCAUCUAUGCUACAACUUGCUUCAAUUAUUAUGCAGGGUGUGCCAAAGACUCUGAGGAAGGGCAUGGGCUCAGAAAGUCUUUGCUGCUCAUUUGCCUUCUGAGUUGAGAACAGUCGCCACCUUGACUUUAACAUAGGAUAAUCAAACUGUAUUAUCCAGAGUUCUGCUUACAUUUUUAUAGGCAUGAGUACUUUUGCAUCUGUAAUCCAAUUCAU